rnacentral:lncRNA from 1 species
AAACUAAUAUAGUUCCAUCCUCUCAAACUUGCAUUUUAGCAAUGGCCAAAUGGAUCUCAUUUGCUGCUCUUUUUGCAAUACUUUUACUACUCAUCUCUCCUGAGCUUGCAAGUGCUGCCCAACCUAGUCUUAUUCUUCAACUCGGCCGAAAACUUUUCCAAUGCGGCAGCGCCGCCGUCCCUGUUCGUGGAAAUACCCCAUCCAAUGGCCGCUCCUAGAGGAUAUACCCCACCACCAAAACACCCACUCUAUGGCUGAAUAUUUGAGAUGUUAGCAUCCUUCUUUAAUUUUGUGAUAAAAAAAAUACUUUUAAAGAUGUAUAAUUGUGUGUCAUUACUAUAAUAUAUGUCAUGUAUGCUUAAUUUCACUGAACCAUGUGUACUACUGCUUAUCGGUCACGUCCAUUUAGUGGCCACACCUGUAUCCAGCGAAUAAAAUUCUCAUAAUCAGUUUGUCCUCUAAAAUUAUUCGGUGAUAUGUAUGUUGUGUAUGCGGAUAGCAAAACGCACCAAAACACUGCACAAUUAUGGAACAGAAAUUGAUUGCGGGGCAAAGGUUCCUCUUUGUUCCUUUAGAUGCAUCGUGCCUCGGAGGAGGAAGAUCUAAUCCAAGAAGAUUCUAGUGUUUAGAAUCAAAA